GAUGAAGAACGUAGCGAAAUGCGAUACUUGGUGUGAAUUGCAGAAUCCCGUGAACCAUCGAGUUUUUGAACGCAAGUUGCGCCCGAAGCCUUUUGGCCGAGGGCACGUCUGCCUGGGCGUCACGCAUCGCGUCGCCCCCCACAAUUUCUCCGUCAGGGGAGCUUGUGUUUCGGGGGCGGAUACUGGUCUCCCGUGCUCAUGGCGCGGUUGGCCGAAAUAGGAGUCCCUUCGAUGGACGCACGAACUAGUGGUGGUCGUAAAAACCCUCGUCUUUUGUUUCGUGCCGUUAGUCGCGAGGGAAGCUCUUCAAAAACCCCAACGCGUCGUCUCUUGACGGCGCUUCGACCGCGACCCCAGGUCAGGCGGGACUACCCGCUGAGUUUAAGCAUAUCAAUAAGCGGAGGA
rnacentral:misc_RNA from 1 species